rnacentral:rRNA from 1 species
AUUGAACGCUGGCGGCAUGCUUUACACAUGCAAGUCGAACGGCAGCGCGGGCUUCGGCCUGGCGGCGAGUGGCGAACGGGUGAGUAAUACAUCGGAACGUGCCCAGUAGUGGGGGAUAGCUCGGCGAAAGCCGGAUUAAUACCGCAUACGACCUGAGGGUGAAAGCGGGGGAUCUUCGGACCUCGCGCUAUUGGAGCGGCCGAUGGCAGAUUAGCUAGUUGGUGGGGUAAAGGCCUACCAAGGCGACGAUCUGUAGCUGGUCUGAGAGGACGACCAGCCAAACUGGAACUGGGACACGGGCCAGACUCCUUAGGGGGGGCGGAGGGGGGGAUUUUUGGAAAUGGGGGGAAGGCUGAACCAGCAAAGGCCGGGGGGUGAAGGAAGUCUUCGGGUUGGAAAAGCCUUUUUGGGGGGAAGAAAAAGGAUGGGACCAAAACCGCGGUUCGUUGAGGGAACCCACAAAAAAAGCACCGCUAAACUAGGG